GAUAUUGUGAAGAGAAAGUUGAGAGACUUAAGACCCAACACUCUGGAUGAGCUUAAGGCCGCUAUCGAAGCAUCCUGGGCCUCCAUAACACCUCAGCAGUGCCACAGGCUGAUUGCCUCCACAAUAUGCUAAUUUUUUGAGAAGGACCUGUAUGUACUUUACAAGUGGAAGAAUUGACAAUAAAGCAGACUUGACUUGACUUGAAGUUUAUAAAUAAUUUCCCACAAAAUCUGUUUAGAUGUAGUGAAACCCCCACAGAUGUAACAGAAAAUAUUGCUAAUGUUUGUAUUUCUUUUUUCUGUCGCUGGCCAGUGUUCAAACCAUGAAAUCGGGAUUAGGCAUAAAAUAAUGACAAACAUGUGCAAAUGAUUGACAUAAAACCAUCUGUUUCUCACAAUCCCUCAGAUGGAAUUACAAUGAAGCCAGGACAACAUCUAUCUAUCUAUCUAUCUAUCUAUCUAUCUAUCUAUCUAUCUAUCUAUCAUGCAUCAUAUAUUGUCAUGCAUAAACAAACUAAUAAACUUAAUGUGAUGCAUAUAUGUCAUUCAUACAAAGACAAAACUGGACAGAUUUCUGCACAAAAAAAGGCAUAAUUUAUUCUGCAGUGUUAUUAUAGUAUCAUUUAGAUACUAGUUAAUCAUAAUAAAAUACAUAAAUAAUAAGAAUAAUAAUUUUGGUUAAAGUUUUAGUCAUUUUGUUAUGUGUUUUGCCAUGUGUUUAGAUAUUUUUGUUAUUUUUUAUUUCAGUUUUAGUUUACUAAAAUUUAAACUAGAUGAAAUGGAUUGUAAACAAUUUAUUUGAUUUCAGUUAAGAUUUAACAAAAAUGACUUUUAAUGCAUUGUGUUUUAGUUUAAAUACAAAAAGGCAUAAUUUUGUUAACUAUUUGCAUCUAUUGAAUUGAAUUUAAAUAAUCAUAUAUUCAAAAUGCAUUUAUUCCAAUUGUUUCGAAUUGUGUUUAUUGUGAAAAUAAUUACAUUUAAUCGGUUAAAAUGUGUAAACAUUAUAGCUGUCGAACCAGCAAUAUUCAAUUAAUUAAAAUGUACGAGACACAUUCAGUUUAUUACAGAAAUAUGACCUGUUGCAUUUCUCUAUGACUGACAAAUUUGUAUCACAUUAAAUGAAUUACUUUGUUUAACUUGUGUAAUCCAAAUGCAUGUAAAUUUUAUUUUGCAAUUCAAAUACAUAAAUCUUAAAUUUAAAAUAUUUUUUGAGUGUAUGUUUAGCCUGUUCUUUGCUUCUCUAAAAACUGAAUUAUAAUAGCUAGACUUCAAAAUGCAUAAAAUCACAUAAAAAGCUAAAAAAAAAAUGGCAAGAAGCAACACAACGGCCCAAGAAAUCAUACUGACACGUGCAAACAGACAGAUACGCCGUCUUCAAAAUGCAACGUCUAUGAUGCAAGAUGCAACACAAUGACAUUAGCAAAAACAAUGUCCUCUGUGGUCAUUUCUCUCUUUCAUGGUGGGGCAAUAUUGUUGAGAAAUUUAAGUAAACUGUUGAUGUUUAGCCAAGUAUCUGAAUGACACCAAACCUUCACUUGCGCACGUCUUUGUCUAUGUUUGUUUCUGGCCUGAAGCUCCAGAAUUGGUUAUGAGAACAUAACCAAUGUGACAUUAGUGAUACACAGUACCGAUAACAAGCUUAUAUUCUCACAGUUUAUAUAAUUUUCAUACAAUUUAUCUGACUACUAAUAGUUGGACUAUCUAUCAUUCUACCAUCUACAUCUACAUGCAAACCGUCUUGAUAUUUUGUCUCCAGAUACACAGUAUCAAUAGACACUGACAUUCAGUUAUUUAUGUAACACAGGCUAAUGCAAUACAAACAAAAACACAUGCAAUCUGAAAGCAACUGCAUAAACUGGCCUAAAGUGUCUGGUUCCCACAUUAUCAGGCUAGUUUUAGCGAGGUUAUGGGAACUUGUCAGCUGCUCAGGUUGGUAAGCCACCUGGCCGACCAGCUUGGUCAGGAUGGUAUAACAAAAAAAAAAAUAAAAUAAAAAAAAUUAAAAAAACAAUGCCCUUAUAGUUUCAAGAGAACUACUUGUGCAGUUUGUUUGUGAAUUCAAUAGAUAUAUGAGGUACAUAAAACUCUAAAU
rnacentral:lncRNA from 1 species